rnacentral:rRNA from 1 species
AUUGAACGCUGGCGGCAGGCCUAACACAUGCAAGUCGAGCGGAUGAAGGGAGCUUGCUCCUGGAUUCAGCGGCGGACGGGUGAGUAAUGCCUAGGAAUCUGCCUGGUAGUGGGGGAUAACGUCCGGAAACGGGCGCUAAUACCGCAUACGUCCUGAGGGAGAAAGUGGGGGAUCUUCGGACCUCACGCUAUCAGAUGAGCCUAGGUCGGAUUAGCUAGUUGGUGGGGUAAAGGCCUACCAAGGCGACGAUCCGUAACUGGUCUGAGAGGAUGAUCAGUCACACUGGAACUGAGACACGGUCCAGACUCCUACGGGAGGCAGCAGUGGGGAAUAUUGGACAAUGGGCGAAAGCCUGAUCCAGCCAUGCCGCGUGUGUGAAGAAGGUCUUCGGAUUGUAAAGCGCUUUAAGUUGGGAGGAAGGGCAGUAAGUUAAUACCUUGCUGUUUUGACGUUACCAACAGAAUAAGCACCGGCUAACUUCGU